UACAUCCUCAUGGUUGGUGACCUUGGAUAAAUUUCAUUUUUGUGCUUCUGUUUCAUUUUCUUUAAAAUGAGUAGUUGAAAGCUUCAAAGACUCAAAGAUUUCAUGAACUUAAAAGAAGACUGAUUGAAAGAAAUGCGUGGCCAUUAUUACCUCGCUGCUCAGUUUAUUCAUGGACACAUACUUGUUACAUACAUCUGAAGUUUCCUUAAGGAAAUGAACUCUGUGGAUGUGAUACUUGGCCAUUGAGAGAAGUGGAAUAAAUAAGAAAAAGAAGGGGGAACAAGUUAGUGACAAAGGAGCCGUGGGCACCACUUUCAGAUAAAAACAUAGACCUGAAUGGCAUCAUCCAGUAUCCAAGGAAACCAUGCACUGUGGUGUAUCCUGAGCAGGACCGAGACAAGGGUGUUUUUCUUAAGAGCCACUGAUUUAGUCAAUUAUCAAAAAUCACAUUAUAAUAAAUGCUGUUCUAAGAAUUUUGAUUAACCUUUAAAUAAAUGUUACUUUGAAAAAAAAAACCCCUGCCAAAUGUGUUAAUAAUAAAUUGUGAAGUGGUAGUAAUUGCAAGUAUGGCUUUAUAGAUAAUAUAGUUAAUUGAUACCACCCUCUCCAACAUAUAUAGCACAUCAGCUGCUACGAGGCAGUGUGAUAGUGAUGGUGUCUAUGGUGUUUUUGAUGCAUUAAGGAUGAUAUGAGCAAAAUGGAAACUUAGAGUGCUCAUCAGGGUCAUUCUCUCAUGGACAUCUGAUGCCCAUGGUCAAGUAAAUUUUUAAUGACACGUAGUCACUACACACCUUUCAGCCUUCUGAAGAGGUAAGUGUGCAUUGAUCUGUCCUAAUUAGCCUUGCAGAGUACUUCAGACAUUCUUGCAUGAACACUAUUAUUUAAUAAAAUGGGGGCUGUUGUUUUUUUUUCCCCCCACAAGCUCAGCACUUGGGCCUUGGAUGGCUGUACGGUUGCUGGUUUGUUUUUUCUUAAACUCAGGUCUUAAUGUUCAUUCUUGUCUUUUGUCUAGCGAUGUAGUAUCAAUGCAGCUGCAUAAAAAAGUAAGCAAAAUUAAGGAAUGGUUCUGAUUUUGAAGGUUUGCUGCUAUUAUAAGAAACCCAUAAAGCACACAUCCAUUCCUUUCCUAAUGUAUAGGGUGCUGACUGCAUAAAAUUGCUUAAAGAGACAUUAAGGAUAUACAGGCAAUUCUGUUGAGGUGUGCAGUGGGAUGCUUUUAUGUUUGGCAAUAAAGGUGGCCCUGGGAUAUCUGAUUUGCAAAAUAAAAGGUAGCCAAAGUAAUUUGCAGUUGUUCUAGGUUGAAACUUUAGGGACAUCUUCUUUUUAAAAGGAGUUUACUUUUCCUUGGAGUCUGGAGUCUAUAAACAAGAGUCCGGAGUUUGCUUAGUGUUGGAGUCAGUCAGUCAGUUCAGUUCAGUCGCUCAGUCGUGUCCGACUCUUUGCCACCCCGUGAAUCACAGCACGCCAGGCCUCCCUGUCCAUCACCAACUCCCGGAGUGCACUCAAGCAUUGUCUAUUAUUACCUCAUAGGAUUUGAAGGUAGGGGAAUUUCUAAUGUAGAUGCUUCUUACGCUUGUGGUAGUAUUUGGUUCCAAAUGGGAUACAGACCUAUCCCAGGGAUAAAGUCUACAGUCAGAACUUCUUAGAGGCAUGAAUAUCACUUGGUAGAUGUGGUUCACUGGUUAUUGGAUUAUUUUUUCUUAAGAAAAUGGAACAAGAGUAGGCUCCUGUUGAGCUGUAGGGCUGGUCAUUGAUGACAAUGUUUGGGGUUACCCUUGUCUGCCAGGAAAUCAGGCAUCUCUUCCUGCUGUUUCAUAGCCACAGAGUUGGCUAUCAGACACCUCAAAUGCCUCCUUUACCUGUUUGCUGAAACCUGGAGUUGCACAGAGAUGAAAAUUUGAGGGUUUUACAAAUAUCCCUUGAAAUGUUAACACUUCAUAUAAGCCAGACCCAUAGAACUCAGAGUGAGCGAGCUUACCAGCUCUUUCUGGAGAAUAGGAUUUUGAAAGUGGGGUGGCUAAAAAAAAUGAGGACACUGAGUAGUAAGGGUGUAAGAGGAAGUGCCUUGUGAGCUUAGUAGGGCAAGAUAAAAGGCCAGGUGGGAGGAGGAUUAGAACAGAAGAGGACAAGAUUUGCUUUGUCUACCCUAUAGGAAAGCUCUGAAAAUGUCAUACUUUCUAAUUACAGUUUUAAAGCACUUUUAAAAAUCCUAGUUUAAAACUGGAUUUGUUUUCAG
rnacentral:lncRNA from 1 species